rnacentral:rRNA from 1 species
GACGAACGCUGGCGGCGUGCUUAACACAUGCAAGUCGAGCGGUAAGGCCCUUUCGGGGGUACACGAGCGGCGAACGGGUGAGUAACACGUGGGUGACCUGCCCUCAGCUCUGGGAUAAGCCUGGGAAACCGGGUCUAAUACUGGAUAUGACUCCAUGACGCAUGUUGUGGGGUGGAAAGCCUUGUGCGGCUGAGGAUGGGCCCGCGGCCUAUCAGCUUGUUGGGGGGUGAUGGCCUACCAAGGCGACGACGGGUAGCCGGCCUGAGAGGGCGGACCGGCCACACUGGGACUGAGACACGGCCCAGACUCCUACGGGAGGCAGCAGUGGGGAAUCUUGCGCAAUGGGCGAAAGCCUGACGCAGCGACGCCGCGUGAGGGAUGACGGCC